UCGAACGCGAAAGCCCCGCAAGGGGUAAGUAGAGUGGCAAACGGGUGAGUAACACGUGGGUGACCUGCCUUCGAGUGGGGGAUAACGUUCCGAAAGGAGCGCUAAUACCGCAUGACAUCCUGCCUUUAGACAGGCGGAGAUCAAAGCUGGGGAUCGCAAGACCUAGCGCUUGAAGAGGGGCCUGCGCCUGAUUAGCUAGUUGGUGAGGUAACGGCUCACCAAGGCGACGAUCAGUAUCCGGCCUGAGAGGGCGGACGGACACACUGGGACUGAGACACGGCCCAGACUCCUACGGGAGGCAGCAGUGGGGAAUUGUUCGCAAUGGGCGAAAGCCUGACGACGCAACGCCGCGUGGAGGACGAAGAUCUUCGGGUCGUAAACUCCUGUCGAGCGGGACGAAUGCCUUGCGGGUGAAUAAUCCGCGAGGGUGACGGUACCGCUAAAGGAAGCCCCGGCUAACUCCGUGCCAGCAGCCGCGGUAAUACNGGGGGGGGCAAGCGUUGUUCGGAAUUACUGGGCGUAAAGGGCUCGUAGGUGGCCAACUAAGUCAGACGUGAAAUCCCCAGGCUCAACUUGGGAACUGCGUCUGAUACUGGAUGGCUUGAAUUCGGGAGAGGGAUGCAGAAUUCCAGGUGUAGCGGUGAAAUGCGUAGAUAUCUGGAGGAAUACCGGUGACGAAGGCGGCAUCCUGGACCGAGAUUGACACUGAGUGAGCGAAAGCCAGGGGAGCAAACGGGAUUAGAUACCCCGGUAGUCCUGGCCCUAAACGAUGAAUGCUUGGUGUGACGGGUAUCGAUCCCUGU
rnacentral:rRNA from 1 species